AGAGUUUGAUCAUGGCUCAGGAUGAACGCUGGCGGCGUGCCUAAUACAUGCAAGUCGAACGAGUUCUCGUUGAUGAUCGGUGCUUGCACCGAGAUUCAACAUGGAACGAGUGGCGGACGGGUGAGUAACACGUGGGUAACCUGCCCUUAAGUGGGGGAUAACAUUUGGAAACAGAUGCUAAUACCGCAUAGAUCCAAGAACCGCAUGGUUCUUGGCUGAAAGAUGGCGUAAGCUAUCGCUUUUGGAUGGACCCGCGGCGUAUUAGCUAGUUGGUGAGGUAAUGGCUCACCAAGGCGAUGAUACGUAGCCGAACUGAGAGGUUGAUCGGCCACAUUGGGACUGAGACACGGCCCAAACUCCUACGGGAGGCAGCAGUAGGGAAUCUUCCACAAUGGACGCAAGUCUGAUGGAGCAACGCCGCGUGAGUGAAGAAGGCUUUCGGGUCGUAAAACUCUGUUGUUGGAGAAGAAUGGUCGGCAGAGUAACUGUUGUCGGCGUGACGGUAUCCAACCAGAAAGCCACGGCUAACUACGUGCCAGCAGCCGCGGUAAUACGUAGGUGGCAAGCGUUAUCCGGAUUUAUUGGGCGUAAAGCGAGCGCAGGCGGUUUUUUAAGUCUGAUGUGAAAGCCCUCGGCUUAACCGAGGAAGCGCAUCGGAAACUGGGAAACUUGAGUGCAGAAGAGGACAGUGGAACUCCAUGUGUAGCGGUGAAAUGCGUAGAUAUAUGGAAGAACACCAGUGGCGAAGGCGGCUGUCUGGUCUGUAACUGACGCUGAGGCUCGAAAGCAUGGGUAGCGAACAGGAUUAGAUACCCUGGUAGUCCAUGCCGUAAACGAUGAAUGCUAGGUGUUGGAGGGUUUCCGCCCUUCAGUGCCGCAGCUAACGCAUUAAGCAUUCCGCCUGGGGAGUACGACCGCAAGGUUGAAACUCAAAGGAAUUGACGGGGGCCCGCACAAGCGGUGGAGCAUGUGGUUUAAUUCGAAGCAACGCGAAGAACCUUACCAGGUCUUGACAUCUUUUGAUCACCUGAGAGAUCAGGUUUCCCCUUCGGGGGCAAAAUGACAGGUGGUGCAUGGUUGUCGUCAGCUCGUGUCGUGAGAUGUUGGGUUAAGUCCCGCAACGAGCGCAACCCUUAUGACUAGUUGCCAGCAUUUAGUUGGGCACUCUAGUAAGACUGCCGGUGACAAACCGGAGGAAGGUGGGGAUGACGUCAAAUCAUCAUGCCCCUUAUGACCUGGGCUACACACGUGCUACAAUGGAUGGUACAACGAGUUGCGAGACCGCGAGGUCAAGCUAAUCUCUUAAAGCCAUUCUCAGUUCGGACUGUAGGCUGCAACUCGCCUACACGAAGUCGGAAUCGCUAGUAAUCGCGGAUCAGCACGCCGCGGUGAAUACGUUCCCGGGCCUUGUACACACCGCCCGUCACACCAUGAGAGUUUGUAACACCCGAAGCCGGUGGCGUAACCCUUUUAGGGAGCGAGCCGUCUAAGGUGGGACAAAUGAUUAGGGUGAAGUCGUA
rnacentral:rRNA from 2 species